rnacentral:rRNA from 1 species
CCUACGGGUGGCAGCAGUGGGGAAUAUUGCACAAUGGGGGAAACCCUGAUGCAGCGACGCCGCGUGAGUGAAGAAGGAUUUCGGGACGUAAAGCUCUAUCAGCAGGGAAGAAAAGGACGGUACCUGACGAAGAAGCCACGGAUAACUACGAGCCAGCAGCCGCGGUAAUACGUACGGGGCAAGCGUUAUCCGGAUUUACCGGGGGUAAAGGGAGCGUAGACGGCUGCGCAAGUCUGGAGUGAACUCCCAUGGCUUAACCAUGGAACUGCUUUGGAAACUGUGCAGCUUGAGUGCAGGAGAGGUAAGCGGAAUUCCUAGUGUAGCGGUGAAAUGCUUAGAUAUUAGGAGGAACUCCAGUUGCGACGGCGGCUUACUGGACUGUACCUGACGUUGAUGCUCGAAAGCGUGGGGAGCAAACAGGAUUAGAUACCCGAGUAGUC